rnacentral:lncRNA from 1 species
CUACUGCCUAAUUUUCAUAUUAAGCUAAUAUGGAUUAGCAAAAACUGCAUUAUCAAGCCUAUGGAGAAGUACAUAUAUUUAUUGUACAACAAAUAGUAUUUAAGAUUCAAAUUACUAGUAUUUCCUGUAUCACAAUAAAAAGUCUAUCAUUUUAACACAUCCCAAAUUGGGUAUCCAUUACAUUGUACAUUAAAAAAAAAUUCUUUACAACGAAAAUUACAUUCUUCACAAGCAUCAAAACUCCAUCUCCGAGGCAACUAUCAACAUUCUUAAUCCAGCAACAAUACUACAAUACUAAAUUAAAAUAGUUAAAAAUAAUGCAACAAUUAUGUGUGCACAUAACCAAUAUGAAAGAUACAACUAAAUAAAAAUUACUUAUAAUUUAUAUACAUAUCUUGCCAAACUCAUUGAACUAUCUGUUGAAUUUAGCCAAAACUAUUCUUCUAUAUCUACUUUGCUCGUUAGGUUGCUAUUGACUUUAUUAACAUUGUCUUGAGGUGCAAGCAUCUUAUCCAACCAACUACCUUAUACAAAAUAGCCAAUAUCAAUGGACACAACACUAUUAAAGUUUUCAAAACAUUUUAAAUAAAUACCUUAUCCAACCAAGUACAAUAUACAUAAAAGUGCAUUAUGAUUAACAAUAGAAUUAUUAAAAAAAAAAAAAGAAAAAGGGAUGAUUAGAACUUACAAUAAUACAAAGUUCUUCAAACAUUGGUUAAGUUCAUAAAGAGAUGUGCACUAUAUAUGUCAAAAUAUAAUAGCAUUUCUUUAUAACAAAAAUUUAAAUGCUAAGCAUAAUUAAUCAAAUAAUAAACUUGAUAUUGUUAUAAUGCGAUUUCUUGCUUUUACCUCUUAGAGACUAGACUUACCAAAUCCGAUAAUCAUUAGUAACCUGAAUUUAAUUUUUUCUAGUAUUGCGAAGUUAGUUAUUCAACUAGUCUCAUAAUUUUUGUUUCUCUUUUCAACUUAAGUGAUAACAAUGGCAUGAUAAAACUAUUCUUAGCAAGGAUUUCAUUAUCUCGAGAGUCAUAAAUCAUGUACUAAAUCAAAGUAGAUUUCAUUUGUAUGAAACUAUGACUACUUGCACUAAAGAAUCAACAUACGGAUUGUUAUAAUUUAUAAACAAUUAAUCAAUUUUUACUACAGUAUAAUAAAUAUCUAAAUAUCCAAUUUUCUCCUUUCCCUUUAAAUAUAUAUCCAAAUUUCAAUCAAUCUAAAUAAUAAUAAUUAUAGCAACAACAAUAACAAUAAUAAUAAAUGAAAAACCCCAACCUUGAAAUACCUGGCAUUUACUCAAAUUUUCAAAAUCUUCUAUUUCUAUUUCACUGUAUUGAUUCCAGAUCUAACAUUCAAACAUGAAUUAUGAAAAAAAGGAAAAACAAAGAUCUCAUUCACAUGAACUAUCCCCAAAUAAACGAAUCAUCAUUAUUUUUCAAUGAAUUAAACAAAUUAAAGAAAUAGAAAACACCUCAUUGUAAGGAUCCAAGCUUUUUAAAAACAGAAGUGUCAAAUGCUUUAUUCCUUUUCUGGAAGAUGUGAACCCAAACUUCCAAAUCUUCAAUUUUUGACUUGUUCUUCGCGGUUCGUGAUUGCGAUUGACUUCACGAUUUUCUCUCUCUUCACUCCCACUUUGCGUUUCUUCACUCUUCAAGAGCGGCGGCUGUAAAUUUAGAAUAAUAACUGUAGAAGAGAUGAAAUUAGGGUUGAUUAUUUGGGGACAAUUGCAAAAGGGUGGUAUUUUUAGUGAUAAGUUUGGAGAAGGAAUUUUGAGAAGAGGAAAAUGAAAGAGAGAGAGAGAGAGGUACAACUUGAAGAAAUUAGGGAUUUGAGGGAACUUAGGGUGAUUUUUUUAUUUAUACAUCUAUAUAAAAAUGCCGUUUUUUAAAUUACGAGUCAUAUGUUUACCUUAUAAAAUAUGACGUGUUUUUGUAUAACGAGUCAUCUUUUAACUUCCUAUCAAAUUAAAAUUAUCAUAGAUGACUCUCUAACUAUAGAAAAAGUCAUCUAAAAGAAAAGAUAACAAUUGUUUAGAUGUGAAUCGUCUAUUGAAUGUCAUCUAUCUCACUUACUGUAGUAGUGGAAUUUGUAUUUGAUGUUUAAUUAUAAUUUCUUGAAGUUUUUAUGUGUUUCAUUGAGUUAUAAUCUUUCUAAUGCCUUGCUUUCUUCUAUUUUAGAACUAGUUUUGAGAUGGAUACCCGUAUUGCAUCUGACAAAAUUUGAGUGUUGUUACAAAUACUUUAUUUGUGAAUAUGGUUUUGUAAUUUUUAUGCGUUGGCUUGCGGUAAAAUUACUAAUGUUAAAAUAUAGUGGAGAUAGAGUUCUUAAGAAAAUGUGUUGAUUACAUUUAUUGGCAAUAUAGUAACAUGUGAUGAACUUUUUUCUCCUUUUAUUAAAUUAGGCAAUUAAAUUGUCAAUUUUGCUUUCUUUUACCUUCUAUGUUCUUUUUUUCUUUGGGGCUACGAUAGAUAUUUUCAUUGGAUAGUUCAACUUAUAAAAAAAUAGCUAUGCACAAUUAUUAGACUGUAAACUAUUAUUAAGGUAUGCAUGUUCGUUCAUAGUUAAAUUGAUUAUUGCUCUAAUUCUUUUCUUGAACAUGAAUAAGAUGCAGAGUUACGGGACUAGUAUUCUAAGGCCAACAAUUGAGGGCAUGGCAAAAGAAUGGAGAGGCUGUUUAGGAUAUUUUGUGAAAUUUUGGGUUGUUGUUGCUUGAAUACCUCAAUGAUAUGGAUUAUAUGGUUAAAUGGAUAUCCAUGUUUUAUUAAUUGGAUUCUUUAAUUUUUUGUAUCAUAUUUUGUAUUUAUUUUAGAUUUAUAAAUUUAUUCUAAAAACAAAUUUUCUGAGAAUUCUAAUAAUAAUAAUAAUUCAACACAAAUAAUAAUAACAAUACAAUUCAAAAAUAAUGCUUUUAAGUAAUUUUAAUAUUCAGAUAAUACCAAUUUACAGCCAAAAAGUUUAAAAAUGCCAAAAAUUUUAAUAAUUUUAAUUUCUCAUUAAAAUAUUGUGUGACAGAUAUGUGACUGUGAAAAAUCAUCAUGAAUUCAUGAUGGAAAAUAUUCUGUCAUGAAUUAAUGACAGUGACAAAAAUGACAGAUAAUUUGUCUGUCAUACAUCCCCUUAUAUGACAAUUAUUUACUGUCAUCUAUUGCCUAUUUUCUUGUAGUGUGGAGCUAUCAACUCAAUUCCAAGAUCAACAAACCACCUAAUAAUGGUUUAAUUUAGAUAAAAAAACCACCUAUCAACACUUGGUGAGUUUAUAAUAAGUUGGUGGCAAUCACUAAGAUGGAGUCUCAUAUUGUGUAAGGUUUCAACAUGUUGUAAUCUCUUGAGCCUAGCAAAUUACUCAAUAUUUGAGUGUGGCUCCAUGGAUGCAGUGAAUAACGUAAAAAUCUUCUUGUGUACUUUAAAAGUUUUUGUCUUACUAGGAAUACAUCUUUGUAUUGGCUUUUGAAUUAAGGAUGUUCUAAUUUCUAUGGCCAAGUUUUGCAUCUGCUUUUGAUUUAGAUGUUCCAACUAUAAAAGCCUAGUGUAUUAAAAAAGAAAAAACUAUGAAGGCCUAAGAAUCUAAUUAUCUCGUUUAGAGUAUUGAUAUUUGAUUAUCUCAUUUUAUCUCACCAAACCCUAUUAAUGAUUCCAAUUUUAUCUUGUACAAAAAUACUAAAAAGUACAUAAGAUUUUUCUCUUUAGACUCUAUCAUUUCGCAAACUUAUAUAUAUUAUAAAUUUCAUGUCACCAAACAACUAAACUAUUUCAAAAGAAAAAAAUAACAAUUUUAUUCUUUUAGAAACAAUUUGAUCAAAUCUCUUCAUUGGCAGCAAACAAAAUCAAUUCCAUAUCCAAAACCAAAUAAAUGAUCAAGUUUAGAAAGGUCUAUCCAUCGCUUGGAUUGCUAAAAUCAUUCCCUUGAUAGCUUUUAACAAGAGAAAGAACAUUAUGGAGAUUGACCAAUUAGCAAAUGCAAAAGAUUAAAAUUACUAAAAGUGAGCAAUUAAGCUUUUUCAACAUGUGAUUUUUGCUUUCUCAUAUUGCUGAAACAAAUAACGUGAAACUGAGGAUUUUUUUCUUUUUUGUCUAAGCAUUUUUAUUGCAACUACCAAAAUGUUAGGACUUUUAUCAUUACAUCAGUGCGUCAAUAAUAUUGUUAUUUAUUUGUUCCUUGCAUUAGGGAUUUGUCUUGUCAUAGGUACUUAGAGAUUACUAUGUCUAUGGGUAGGAAUAUAGCAAGUAUAUUUAAUAUGUGGAAUGGGGUGAAAUCCAAUGAUCCUCUUUUAAAAAAGGAAAAACGCUAUGUUGGGAAAUUGAAACUUUAAACUGAACGUCGGUCUCAAAGUUUCACUGUGAGGCUGGCAUCAUCACUGUUGAUUGUGCGGAUGAUGCCAUGGGUUUAGGUGUUGUGAUGUGUGAUUGUCAUGGGUAUGUUAGGGUUGCUACUAUUUUUGCAAUUAGUAUUUUCUAAGUUAUUGCUAAUAUUUUACAACCCAUGGAACAACGAUAAGCUUUUCAAAUUCAUCAUAUUUUGUGUAAUUUUAAAUAGCUCAAGCCAUGUACUAGCCAAGUUAGCUCUUUUAAAUUCUGUUAUUUAGCUAGAUAACUUUUUAGAACGUUUGUGCGCACUUUAAUUAUAAUGAAGUUAUUGAUUGCUAAAAAAAAAGCGCACACAAAAGUUCUAAAUCUUAAUUAGAAGUAUUUGUUUUUCUUUUUUUCCUUUAUAACAUCAUUAUUAGGGUUAAAAGAAAAAUUAUUCGACCGGAUUUAUUCAAUAGUGUAUAAGUAAUUUUUCUCUUUUAGUAAUCCGACAUAGUAAUGAACUUACCCAUGUUUCAUAUACAUAUAUUUCUCAACCCUAGUAACUAAUUAGUUAAAUAUUUCUCGAACAUAGUAAGUAAAUAUUAUGAUUUAUUAUUACAAACCACCGUAUUAGUAUCUAUCUAUGAUUUAACAAUAGGUUAAUAUAGAUAUCGUGGAUUUAGUGAUCUUCAUUCUUCAUACUACCUUUCAGGACAUGGAGGUACAUCGUAUUGAUGUAAGUGGCACUUGUGGGAUAUAAUACAGUUCUUAGAAGAGGCAAAGAAAAGAGGAACUUAAAGUCAUCAUCAUAAUUCUCACUACCUAUCAGCCUAUAAAUCCCUAAUUAUUUCACAUAUCAUCAACAAUUUAAUAUAACACAUAAACCUGUAAUUCUUUCACAUAUCAUUUUCAAUAGUCACCAUAAAAACACAAGAAUCAUCAUUACCUUGUCUUUAACUAAAAAAUGAAAGAGACCAGCUCAAGAUGACACUAACUGAUUGAUGGAUUCAACUUGUUAUUUGCUGUGUGUUACAUGGUAGCUUCGAUUUUAUGUGAUUAGUAAACAAUCUAAGAGACAAAUCAAUAUUUCAGAGAGUGAUAGUAAGAGAGGUGAAAGAGAUGUUUGAGAUUUGAAGGAGGGAAAACGUAAUGGAUUUCAGCAACCAUUUAACAAGUAACCCGUUACUUUUUAUUUUUAAUUUAAUCUCAACCGUUGGACUCAUUUUACUUGAAUCCAACGGCUACAAAUAAAAAUUGGCACAAUGCUAGGC